rnacentral:misc_RNA from 1 species
CUUGAUUUGGAAGGACAACUAACGCCAAUCCUGGUCUCCCUCGUUAGCAAGGAUUCCUCGAUGUUGGAUGGACUUGACAAUGCCAGCAUUGAAAUGGAAGAAGCCAAGGCUAGGUUGAAUGAGAUCAUAACUUCUGGUUCAAAGGCUGCUAAUAGCAAUGGAUCCUCUGAAUUUCCAUGGAUGACUGAUGGAGCUGGACUACCCCCACCUUCUUCCCAAACUGGUAAAAUUGACUAAGAAGGUCACAGAACAAGUGAGACUGCUUGCAAAAGAUGAAGAUGAAGAACUUACAGAAACAAGCUCAUAUAAUGUAAUUCCGCCGUAUGACCAAGCAAAGGCCCUUGGUAAAACAAAUAUUGAUGUUGAUCGAAUUGCUGCUGGACUACCCUGUGGCAGUGAGGGGUUCCUUUUGAUGUAUGCACGCUGGAGAAAACUGGAAAGAGACUUGUACAAUGAACGCAAAGAGCGAUUUGAUAUAACACAAAUUCCUGAUGUUUAUGACUCAUGC